rnacentral:piRNA from 1 species
CCAGGAUUUAAAGCCUCACUUGGAUUUAAUAU